rnacentral:rRNA from 1 species
UGGGGAAUAUUGGACAAUGGGGGCAACCCUGAUCCAGCGACGCCGCGUGGGUGAAGAAGGCCUGCGGGUUGUAAAGCCCUUUCGGUGGGGAAGAAAAGUCACUGCCUAACACGCGGUGGCCUUGACGUAACCCAUAGAAGAAGCACCGGCUAACUCUGUGCCAGCAGCCGCGGUAAUACAGAGGGUGCGAGCGUUAAUCGGAAUUACUGGGCGUAAAGCGCACGUAGGCGGUUUAGCAAGUCGGGUGUGAAAUCCCCAGGCUUAACCUGGGAACUGCAUUCGAGACUGCUUUGCUAGAGUAUGGGAGAGGGAAGUGGAAUUUCCGGUGUAGCGGUGAAAUGCGUAGAUAUCGGAAGGAACAUCAGUGGCGAAAGCGACUUCCUGGACCAAUACUGACGCUCAUGUGCGAAAGCGUGGGGAGCAAACAGGAUUAGAUACCCCCGUAGUCC